AUUAUGGGAUCUAACUAUAGUUAUACAAGGGCUAUCAUACCAUGAACAAGAGGGUUGGUUCACAGAAGUCAAUUUGAUGAAAGGGAUACAUGAUUAUGGUCAGAUGCCAUAAUUAUACCAAGUGAUCAUAAAAAUGAUGCUAAAUUUUAAUCUGCAAGAAUCAAGUAGAAAGAAGAUCAGGUAAUAGCAUCCCACGACCGUACAUUGAAGGCAUGAUCAUAGUAUGUGGUUAUGGGAAGGAACUCUAGAUUUGGAAGGUUCAAAAGUUGAAGAGUAGGAUUAUUAGAUGACAAUAAAGUCAUAAUAGAACUAUACCAUCAAAGACCCUAAGGUGAUAAAGUUCAUGGGUUAACUAGGAGUAUUCAAAGAAAAUCAUGGGUUUUAACCAUGAUCAUACCUUUCUUUCAUCUAAGGCAACUGUCCCACAUUUCCUAUUUUGUUUAGGAUAGGAUUCAUUUUGUCUAUAAAUAAUCUUAUAGGUCUAUUUGUAUGAGGUGACACCACUUCAUAUUUUACAAUAUUAUAUUUUGAAAUUCUAAGACAUAUUCUUGGGACUUUUGGAACAUAAUUUAUAGAGUUUUAAUUCAAGUUCGAAUUUUGUAGCUU
rnacentral:lncRNA from 1 species